AUGGAGACUCUGUCCCAGCUGCUCUUUGGGCUCCUCAUGCUUUGGGUCCCAGGUUCCAAAGGAGAAGUUGUGCUGACCCAGUCUCCAGCCUCAGUGUCUGUGAGCCCAGGAGAGAGAAUCACCAUCAGCUGCCAGGCCAGUCAGAGUGUCAAACACAGUAAUGGAAAAACUUAUUUUGACUGGAUCCAGCACAAGCCUGGACAGUCUCCUCGGCUACUCAUUUACCAGGUUUCCAAGCUGGAAUCAGGAAUCCCUGCCAGGUUCAGUGGCAGUGGUGCUGACAGGGAUUUCACCCUCACAAUCAGUGAUGUCAGUGCUGAAGAUGGGGCAGAUUAUUACUGUGGACAAAGAUCUUUUACUCCUCCCACAGUGCUACAGGGGCCAAGCCUGACUCCUUUGGACUUCAGGGUCCACCUUGCUAUCUACUGCCACCUGCUGGUUAGCUGCUGA